GUGCUCGCUUCGGCAACACAUAUACUAAAAUUAGAAGAGGCACAGAA
rnacentral:snRNA from 1 species